CAGGUUUCCCCACACAAUGACGCACACCGGGAAGCACUCGCGGUCAAAGAUGUGCCUAUGCACGGGCUCUGGAUGAUCAAGGUGAAAUACGAUUGGAUCUGUCUCUUCUACCCUCGCCUUCUUCGCCGAUCCGAAAGUUGCAGCACCUUCCCGCUCGUGGGCUUUGAGAUUCUGGGCCAACAUUCGAGCCACGUCUGCGCCCAUAUCUGCAACGAAAGAUGAUCAGCACAGUCUAUGAAUGGGGCCACG
rnacentral:lncRNA from 1 species